rnacentral:tRNA from 1 species
UUUAGUACAAAAAGUAUACUUGUUUUCCAAACAAAAGAUUUAAAAAUUAAAAGAUA